GAUGAACGCUGGCGGCGUGCCUAAUACAUGCAAGUCGAGCGAACGGACGAGAAGCUUGCUUCUCUGAUGUUAGCGGCGGACGGGUGAGUAACACGUGGAUAACCUACCUAUAAGACUGGGAUAACUUCGGGAAACCGGAGCUAAUACCGGAUAAUAUUUUGAACCGCAUGGUUCAAAAGUGAAAGACGGUCUUGCUGUCACUUAUAGAUGGAUCCGCGCUGCAUUAGCUAGUUGGUAAGGUAACGGCUUACCAAGGCAACGAUGCAUAGCCGACGUGAGAGGGUGAUCGGCCACACUGGAACUGGGACACGGUCCAGACUCCUACGGGAGGGAGCAGUAGGGAAUCUUCCGCAAUGGGCGAAAGCCUGACGGAGCAACGCCGCGUGAGUGAUGAAGGUCUUCGGAUCGUAAAACUCUGUUAUUAGGGAAGAACAUAUGUGUAAGUAACUGUGCACAUCUUGACGGUACCUAAUCAGAAAGCCACGGCUAACUACGUG
rnacentral:rRNA from 1 species